GAUGAAGAACGUAGUGAAAUGCGAUAAGUAAUGUGAAUUGCAGAAUUCAGUGAAUCAUCGAAUCUUUGAACGCACAUUGCGCCCGCCGGUAUUCCGGCGGGCAUGCCUGUUCGAGCGUCAUUUCAACCAUCAAGCCCUGGGCUUGUGUUGGGGACCUGCGGCUGCCGCAGGCCCUGAAAUGCAGUGGCGGGCUCGCAAGACACACCGAGCGUAGUAGCUUACAACCUCGCUUUGGGAGUGCUGCGGGUGCUGGCCGUAAAGCGACCUUUGCGUCUUUAGCACUAGGUUGACCUCGGAUCAGGUAGGAGGACCCGCUGAACUUAAGCAUAUCAAUAAGCGGAGGA
rnacentral:misc_RNA from 1 species